rnacentral:rRNA from 1 species
AUACGUAGGUGGCAAGCGUUAUCCGGAAUUAUUGGGCGUAAAGAGGGAGCAGGCGGCAGCAAGGGUCUGUGGUGAAAGCCUGAAGCUUAACUUCAGUAAGCCAUAGAAACCAGGCAGCUAGAGUGCAGGAGAGGAUCGUGGAAUUCCAUGUGUAGCGGUGAAAUGCGUAGAUAUAUGGAGGAACACCAGUGGCGAAGGCGACGAUCUGGCCUGCAACUGACGCUCAGUCCCGAAAGCGUGGGGAGCAAAUAGGAUUAGAUACCCUAGUAGUCCACGCCGUAAACGAUGAGUACUAAGUGUUGGAUGUCAAAGUUCAGUGCUGCAGUUAACGCAAUAAGUACUCCGCCUGAGUAGUACGUUCGCAAGAAUGAAACUUAAAUGAAUUGACGGGG